GAACAUGUAGUACUUGGUAUUUGUUUGCCUUUCCAGUUUGUUCAUAUUACUCAACAAAAAGCAGCCGUUUCUAACGGAAGGGAGCAUCUUAGUGUUGCUCAUAGAUGAAGACAAUUCCUAGAAAACUUUGCCAGUACAGUGAGUCUACCCUGCAGUAGAAAUGGCUUUUAUUCAUUUGCAGCUUUUGUCAGUGAUGAAAUGUAAUUUCACCCAUGCUAAAUCGAUAGUUGAGUGAAGCUCACUACCUUACCAGUCCCACAGAUUUUCUACUAUGUUUCCUCCUUUGUUCCUGGAAGAUUUCAGAUUAGUAUCUCCAGAUCAUUUAUUGAAGAUGGCUGUUCAUAAAACAUAGAGUCCAUGAGCUUCUUGACACUAUGCUUAAAAGAUUUAUCUCCUGGGAA
rnacentral:lncRNA from 1 species